GACCCUGGAAGGGACCAGCUCUCAGCUGGGAGGAAUCAAGGAUUGAAUAAUGGCAACUGGCCCAGGAGCAGGCAGGAGCAGGCAGCAGCUGUCGUGCAGGAUGAGCCCUGGUACCUGGGAGGCACAUGGAGGCACCACCUUGCUGUGUGGGGUGAGCGGGUGCUCGGAGCUCGAGUACGGUACAGGAAGAAGUAGGGGUGAUAGCAGGGUAAGAGCAGAAAACAUGCGGUUGCAGCUGUAUUUGAGCAGCAAGCACAGUUUCAGCUGCAGGAGCGAUGCUUGCUCAUUUUGAACUCUGCUGUCUCAGCCUUUGUGCUCAAGGUGUUUCCUCUCCUGGCCUCUCCUAUGAGGGCACUGUGAGCUUCAGUCUCCUCACUUGGCUCUGUGCAAUGCAAAUCCUGCGGGUCGCAUCAGGCCACUCUCAAGUUGUGCGUGGGAUGGGUGAGGUCAGGCCUCUGGCUGUGCUGUGGUACAAGGAACACAAAACGUGGGUUUCUGCAUGGACACCAGCCCAAACUGCCACACACUUGUCAGAGUUUGUCAUGUAUCUUACAAAUGCACGUGUUACACUCUCACCGUUGUGUGACUGCGUCCUGGAGCGAGCUGUGCACCCUGCCUGGGGCAAUGUCACUGAUUCUGGUUGAGCUGGCAGAGGAGAAGGGCAGCAGCACCAGUUGCCCUGGGAUGGAGCCCGUGAAAGAGCCAGGUUUUCCCUUCGGAAGCCCCCAGACCUCUCAUGGAGCACCACGGUGGGACCAG